rnacentral:rRNA from 1 species
GUCGGCCUACGGGGGGCAGCAGUGGGGGAUAUUGCACAAUGUUUUAAACCCUUAUGCAUCUACUCCUCUUUGGCGAAGAAGUAUUUCGGUAUGUAAAGCCCUAUCAGCAGGGAAGAAGAAAUGACGGUACCUGAGUAAGAAGCACCGGCUAAAUACGUGCCAGCAGCCGCGGUAAUACGUAUGGUGCAAGCGUUAUCCGGAUUUACUGGGUGUAAAGGGAGCGCAGGCGGCACGGCAAGCCUGAUGUGAAAGCCCGCGGCCCAACCGCGGGACUGCAUUGGGAACUACCGAGCUGGAGUGCCGGG